rnacentral:rRNA from 1 species
UUGAACGCUGGCGGCAGGCCUAACACAUGCAAGUCGAACGGUAACAGAAAGCAGCUUGCUGCUUUGCUGACGAGUGGCGGACGGGUGAGUAAUGUCUGGGAAACUGCCCGAUGGAGGGGGAUAACUACUGGAAACGGUAGCUAAUACCGCAUAACGUCGCAAGACCAAAGAGGGGGACCUUCGGGCCUCUUGCCAUCGGAUGUGCCCAGAUGGGAUUAGCUAGUAGGUGGGGUAACGGCUCACCUAGGCGACGAUCCCUAGCUGGUCUGAGAGGAUGACCAGCCACACUGGAACUGAGACACGGUCCAGACUCCUACGGGAGGCAGCAGUGGGGAAUAUUGCACAAUGGGCGCAAGCCUGAUGCAGCCAUGCCGCGUGUAUGAAGAAGGCCUUCGGGUUGUAAAGUACUUUCAGCGGGGAGGAAGGGAGUAAAGUUAAUACCUUUGCUCAUUGACGUUACCCGCAGAAGAAGCACCGGCUAACUCCGUGCCAGCAGCCGCGGUAAUACGGAGGGUGCAAGCGUUAAUCGGAAUUACUGGGCGUAAAGCGCACGCAGGCGGUUUGUUAAGUCAGAUGUGAAAUCCCCGGGCUCAACCUGGGAACUGCAUCUGAUACUGGCAAGCUUGAGUCUCGUAGAGGGGGGUAGAAUUCCAGGUGUAGCGGUGAAAUGCGUAGAGAUCUGGAGGAAUACCGGUGGCGAAGGCGGCCCCCUGGACGAAGACUGACGCUCAGGUGCGAAAGCGUGGGGAGCAAACAGGAUUAGAUACCCUGGUAGUCCACGCCGUAAACGAUGAGAACUAGGUGUUGGGGGAAUAACUCAGUGCCGCAGUUAACGCAGUAAGUUCUCCGCCUGGGGAGUAUGCACGCAAGUGUGAAACUCAAAGGAAUUGACGGGGGCCCGCACAAGCGGUGGAGUAUGUGGUUUAAUUCGAAGCAACGCGAAGAACCUUACCAGGCCUUGACAUCCCUUGCAGAGGUAUAGAGAUAUAUCCGAGGUUAUCAAGGAGACAGGUGGUGCAUGGUUGUCGUCAGCUCGUGUCGUGAGAUGUUGGGUUAAGUCCCGCAACGAGCGCAACCCUUGUGAUAUGUUACUAACAUUGAGUUGAGGACUCAUAUCAGACUGCCGGUGACAAACCGGAGGAAGGUGGGGAUGACGUCAAAUCAUCAUGCCCCUUAUGAGCAGGGCUACACACGUGCUACAAUGGCGCAUACAAAGAGAAGCGACCUCGCGAGAGCAAGCGGACCUCAUAAAGUGCGUCGUAGUCCGGAUUGGAGUCUGCAACUCGACUCCAUGAAGUCGGAAUCGCUAGUAAUCGUGGAUCAGAAUGCCACGGUGAAUACGUUCCCGGGCCUUGUACACACCGCCCGUCACACCAUGGGAGUGGGUUGCAAAAGAAGUAGGUAGCUUAACCUUCGGGAGGGCGCUUACCACUUUGUGAUUCAUGACUGGGGUG